GGGCGGUGCGGUGUGCCUAAUACAUGCAAGUCGAACGAACUCUGGUAUUGAUUGGUGCUUGCAUCAUGAUUUACAUUUGAGUGAGUGGCGAACUGGUGAGUAACACGUGGGAAACCUGCCCAGAAGCGGGGGAUAACACCUGGAAACAGAUGCUAAUACCGCAUAACAACUUGGACCGCAUGGUCCGAGCUUGAAAGAUGGCUUCGGCUAUCACUUUUGGAUGGUCCCGCGGCGUAUUAGCUAGAUGGUGGGGUAACGGCUCACCAUGGCAAUGAUACGUAGCCGACCUGAGAGGGUAAUCGGCCACAUUGGGACUGAGACACGGCCCAAACUCCUACGGGAGGCAGCAGUAGGGAAUCUUCCACAAUGGACGAAAGUCUGAUGGAGCAACGCCGCGUGAGUGAAGAAGGGUUUCGGCUCGUAAAACUCUGUUGUUAAAGAAGAACAUAUCUGAGAGUAACUGUUCAGGUAUUGACGGUAUUUAACCAGAAAGCCACGGCUAACUACGUGCCAGCAGCCGCGGUAAUACGUAGGUGGCAAGCGUUGUCCGGAUUUAUUGGGCGUAAAGCGAGCGCAGGCGGUUUUUUAAGUCUGAUGUGAAAGCCUUCGGCUCAACCGAAGAAGUGCAUCGGAAACUGGGAAACUUGAGUGCAGAAGAGGACAGUGGAACUCCAGGUGUAGCGGUGAAAUGCGUAGAUAUAUGGAAGAACACCAGUGGCGAAGGCGGCUGUCUGGUCUGUAACUGACGCUGAGGCUCGAAAGUAUGGGUAGCAAACAGGAUUAGAUACCCUGGUAGUCCAUACCGUAAACGAUGAAUGCUAAGUGUUUGGAGGGUUUCCGCCCUUCAGUGCUGCAGCUAACGCAUUAAGCAUUCCGCCUGGGGGAGUACGGCCGCAAGGCUGAAACUCAAAGGAAUUGACGGGGGCCCGCACAAGCGGUGGAGCAUGUGGUUUAAUUCGAAGCUACGCGAAGAACCUUACCAGGUCUUGACAUACUAUGCAAAUCUAAGAGAUUAGACGUUCCCUUCGGGGACAUGGAUACAGGUGGUGCAUGGUUGUCGUCAGCUCGUGUCGUGAGAUGUUGGGUUAAGUCCCGCAACGAGCGCAACCCUUAUUAUCAGUUGCCAGCAUUAAGUUGGGCACUCUGGUGAGACUGCCGGUGACAAACCGGAGGAAAGGUGGGGAUGACGUCAAAUCAUCAUGCCCCUUAUGACCUGGGCUACCACCGUGCUACAAUGAAUGGUACAACGAGUUGCGAACUCGCGAGAGUAAGCUAAUCUCUUAAAGCCAUUUCUCAGUUCGGAUGGAAGGCUGGAAUUCGCCUAACUGAAGUCCGGAUCGCUAGAAACCGCGGAUCAGCAUGCCGCGGUGAAUACGUUCCCGGGCCUUGGACACACCGCCCGUCACCCAUGAGAGUUUGUAACCCCCCAAGGCUUGGGGGGACCUUUAAGACACCCGCCUAAGGUGGAAUAAAUAAACGGGAAUUCCAAUGGGUUCUUGAAACGCUUGGCCUGACCUUAGCCCCAGUCCAUAAAGGUUAUUUAACCUGAAGU
rnacentral:rRNA from 1 species